rnacentral:rRNA from 1 species
CCUCCUUUUCGCAGCACCGGGGAAUAUUGCACAAUGGGGGGAACCCUGAUGCCUCCCCUCCUCUUUCUUUCUUCCUUCUUUCUUUAUGUAAAGCUCUAUCAGCAGGGAAUAGAAAAGAAGGUACCUGAAAAAGAAGCCCCGGCUAACUACGUGCCAGCAGCCGCGGUAAUACGUAGGGGGCAAGCGUUAUCCGGAUUUACUGGGUGUAAAGGGAGCGUAUACGGAAAGGCAAGUCAGAAGUGAAAACCCAAGGCUCAACCAUGGGACUGCUUUUGAAACUGUCAAACUAGAGUACGGGAGAGGUA